rnacentral:rRNA from 1 species
GACGAACGCUGGCGGCGUGCUUAACACAUGCAAGUCGAGCGGAAAGGCCACUUCGGUGGUACUCGAGCGGCGAACGGGUGAGUAACACGUGAGUAAUCUGCCCCUGGCUUUGGGAUAGCCACCGGAAACGGUGAUUAAUACCGGAUACGACCACUUCUCGCAUGGGCUGGUGGUGGAAAGUUUUUUCGGCCAGGGAUGUGCUCGCGGCCUAUCAGCUUGAUGGUGAGGUAAUGGCUCACCAUGGCUUCGACGGGUAGCCGGCCUGAGAGGGUGACCGGUCGCACUGGGACUGAGACACGGCCCAGACUCCUACGGGAGGCAGCAGUGGGGAAUAUUGGACAAUGGGCGGAAGCCUGAUCCAGCAACGCCGCGUGAGGGAUGACGGCCUUCGGGUUGUAAACCUCUUUCAGCAGGGACGAAGCGCAAGUGACGGUACCUGCAGAAGAAGCACCGGCCAACUACGUGCCAGCCGCCGCAGUAA